GAUGAACGCUGGCGGCGUGCCUAAUACAUGCAAGUAGAACGCUGAAGCUUGGUGCUUGCACCGAGCGGAUGAGUUGCGAACGGGUGAGUAACGCGUAGGUAACCUGCCUCUUAGCGGGGGAUAACUAUUGGAAACGAUAGCUAAUACCGCAUAAAAGUCGAUAUCGCAUGAUAUUGAUUUGAAAGGUGCAAUUGCAUCACUAAGAGAUGGACCUGCGUUGUAUUAGCUAGUUGGUGAGGUAACGGCUCACCAAGGCAACGAUACAUAGCCGACCUGAGAAGGUGAUCGGCCACACUGGGACUGAGACACGGCCCAGACUCCUACGGGAGGCAGCAGUAGGGAAUCUUCGGCAAUGGGGGCAACCCUGACCGAGCAACGCCGCGUGAGUGAAGAAGGUUUUCGGAUCGUAAAGCUCUGUUGUAAGAGAAGAACGAGUGUGAGAGUGGAAAGUUCACACUGUGACGGUAACUUACCAGAAAGGGACGGCUAACUACGUG
rnacentral:rRNA from 1 species